rnacentral:rRNA from 1 species
GAUGAACGCUGGCGGCGUGCCUAAUACAUGCAAGUCGAGCGAACGGACGAGAAGCUUGCUUCUCUGAUGUUAGCGGCGGACGGGUGAGUAACACGUGGAUAACCUACCUAUAAGACUGGGAUAACUUCGGGAAACCGGAGCUAAUACCGGAUAAUAUUUUGAACCGCAUGGUUCAAAAGUGAAAGACGGUCUUGCUGUCACUUAUAGAUGGAUCCGCGCUGCAUUAGCUAGUUGGUAAGGUAACGGCUUACCAAGGCAACGAUGAAUAGCCGACCUGAGAGGGUGAUCGGCCACACUGGAACUAAGACACGGUCCAGACUCCUACGGGAGGCAGCAGUAGGGAAUCUUCCGCAAUGGGCGAAAGCCUGACGGAGCAACGCCGCGUGAGUGAUGAAGGUCUUCGGAUCGUAAAACUCUGUUAUUAGGGAAGAACAUAUGUGUAAGUAACUGUGCACAUCUUGACGGUACCUAAUCAGAAAGCCACGGCUAACUACGUG